rnacentral:misc_RNA from 1 species
CUGCGCGUGCCCGCCACCGCCCACACCCUCACCCGCGCUCACAUUACCGCCAAAGAGAGUUCUCUCGUUAGCCCCACCUCGCUCUCCAUCCUUCUUGUUCUCGCCGCAUCCGCUCAACACCCCUCUCGUCCCUUUUCCGUUGACACGUUGGCACAGAGCGGUGGGUCGUGUACACAACGAGUGCGCAACUUGCCUCUGCUUUUUAUCUCUCGGUAGCGACUUCCAUUGAAUACCCCACCUCUCUCUCUCCAUCGACCUUUUCUCUCUGCGUCUGCCGCUCACGCACCCCCUCUCCCAGCGCGCGGGCAGCAACGUCGUCACACCCCGCUCACACCGCCAAGCACGCACGCGCUCUUCUCUGGAGGGGCGGACGAACACAGGGAAGGCGAAAAGGUCGAUCAGGAACCACGCACAGGCCCCCCUUCCCUCCAGCAACAACUGCAAAUCCAGAGAGGGAGGCCGUGACGAGGCCAACACGUGGAGGGAGCGAGCAGCGACACGCCCCACCUUCGUUUCUUUAUUUAUAUCACACAUCAUAUAUAUAUAUAUCAUAUUUAAUUAUUUUUCGGCGAGAUUUUUUGUUUGCGUGUUUUGUUUGUCGUUGUCGUCAUUGCCGCUGUUCAUGUGAUUGCUGUGGUUGUGAUUGUCUUUGGAUAUCUUUUCCGCUACUCUUCUUCGCCAUCCUCCUCCUCCUCCCUUUUCCCCUCCUCUUCUGCACUUUCACAUCGUUGCCACAGAGCACCUUGUUCUUUCUCCCUUUCUCACUCGCUUUCCCUGUCCCCCCCCUUGCGCUGCUCGUGUUGCGCGUGCUCUGGACGCUCUCUUCCCCACCCGCUGUGCCCUCCUAAUCCCCUCUCCAAGUCAUACGUUGUGUUUUGUUUUUUGUUUUCGCCCCCCCCCCCCCCCCUCGCUCUUCCUGCUCGAGACAAGCAGCUGUGGGUCGGCGAUCGCGCCGCGCUUACGCGUCACUGAGUUGUGCGACAACACUCCGACAAGCAGAGACACACUUCUUUCUUUUUGGCUACCUUUUUCUGCUUGUUUUCGCUGUUUGCACGAUUUCAGCUCGUCUUCUUUCUUUCCGCCGCUCCCGCCUCUUUCUGCGCCUUCGCUGCUUGUUUUUUUGCCCCCCCCCCCCCCCCCCCCCCAACCACGCCGUUGCUGCCGUGAUUGCCUGCCGCCGCACCGCUCUCUCCGCCCCGCUCCGACUUUGUUUCCCUCUCUUGUGAACGCCUCAAGCAACACUCUCCACGAAAAAAGCAAAAAAAAACGGGAGAGACAAGAGUUGCGUUCUGCCACCAUGCAGCAGCAGCCAUCGAGUAAUUCGUGGCGCGGUGCCAACCGCGUCGGGUCUGUCAAGUAUGCUCAUUCGCCAUACGCCUACCGCACCAACGUAGAUGAUGCCCGUUUCAGUCCAUUGAGCGAUCAGGGGGGUCGUCGGGAGUCGGCAAGCCUCCCAGUGUACCUUAGCCCCAGGUCGUUUAGCGCGAGCGCGUCGAUGCAUGAGUUGCCUGGGAGCCACGUGCUUCAGGGCACGCAAAAUGAAGGCAGCGGGCAGCAGCUUUCUCAGCCGAGCACCCCACUAAGCCGAUCCAGUGGCGUGCAGGAGUACUCGCAGCCGAUUCAGGUCGGCUCCGCCCCAAACGUGCACCCGCGGUACCGCCGCAGAAUGCAGAGUCCCAUCACCUAUGGCGGCAGCAACGACAGCGGUAGUCUCAGCGGCUUCCCCAACACACCGCCUAGCAGCCUGCCUCCUCGGUCUCCCUUCAUGCCGCGCGACGACAGCGGGAGUACGUUUGCUGGCGGCGAGUCCGCGCCGGUACGAGGGCACAACGACCCUUACCAAAUGAAUGCCAACGGCGGUUGCUCCUCUCCACAAUACCGGCUGCAGCUCUCGGGGAGCUCUCGCGAUGCCGCCGUUGAAGUCGAGAGUAGAUCGCAGUCGCCAAAUCCUCACUACACCGCGCACGGGACGCCGCCCCCGCCACCACCGCUGCCGGUCGGCACCUCCGUUCCUCAGUAUGGUGCGCGGACGCCCAGCCAGCACACGUCGCCAACGAACGCGAAUGGGACGGCCGCCUCAAGCUACGCCCCCCCGGGCUUCUCGGUGCCACUGAAGAUGGCCUCUGUGAGCAAUGGGGGCAGCGGCAGCUACCACGGAUCCCUCGGUGGCCGAGGCGGCUCGCAGUCACCCAGCUACGGAGAUCCGAGAGCUAGUCACUCCUUCCCUUCAACGAUGAGCGGCGGCAACGGAGCACCACCGCUGACGUUCGCCGCCGCAAUGAAACAGCAGCAGCAAAGCAGCUCCUUCCAGGCAAGCAGCUACCACGGCCCAGCCAGAGGUGGCGCCUACCUUGCCUCGACUCCGUUUGGUGGCCCAGGGAUGAGCGGUGGGUCCACCGGGGUGACGCACCGAGCGGAGGGUCCCCAUUUCAGUGAUUCGUACGACACAAACACAAAGACGGUGACCACGAUGGCGGACGAGACGAUGUCGUUCUCCAGCAAGUCGAGCAGCAGUGCGAGUAGCAUCCGCGAUGACCUGCCGCUCUGUCCCAACGAUGACGCGUGUACGCUGAUUAACGAUCGCAAACACCAGAAGAAGUUCGCCCACACGUGUCGACUGCUCCCCUGUUAUCACGGACACGUCGCCCGCCACGCGAAGCUUUUUAGGCACUCUCCAGGGCAGGUGUCACUGCCGGAGGGUGUCUCUGCCAACAUGAAGAUAUCUAGUCACGCCCUGGCUAGCGUGAACUUUAGUACCAUCAGCCCAGAGGCGCCGAACGCGUACCGCAUCUACGUGUCGCACGGCAAUAAGAGCUACGAGAUUUUUGGUGACUGGGCCUCGGUGAAGGUGCAUACGUUCAAGCGGUACCUGCAUCAGGUGUACCACAUUGCCCCGAGCGCGCAAGUCCUGUCGGUUGUGAAGACGGGCAAGGUAAUGGACGACGACAUCAACACCGUGAAGGGAUUUGGAAUUGAGGAGGACUCAGUUGUUCAGCUGCACAGCAACAUUGAGGAUGCCACCGUUUCCGGGCGCAUCGGCAUUUCACUCGACGAUCUAUAAAUGCCGAUGGCGCAUGUACACCGUACACACAUAAAGAUGCGCAUGCACAUCCAUACCCUCGCUCGCACACGCGAGAAGCCAUUGGGGAGCGGCAGAGAGCGAAAGGAGGCGGCAGCUGCGGUGUGGCAUGGGAGCGUCCACAGCCGCACUGGCAUAGGAGAAAGAGGGAACCACACGUUCCAGCCCGUGCGGUGUGUGUGUAUCUGUGUGUGUGUCCUUGCAUGUGACUUCUUUGGUCGCGCGCCUGUGGUUCAUGUGAUGAACUGCCGACAAUCAACAGGUUAGCGUCGCAACCUUUUCGUAUGUCUCCUUGCCUCGUUCUCCGUUCGCCUUUCUGCACGACAAUGACGAGUGCGACGAUCACAAGGACACGCAGCACGGAGUGUGUAUCCUGCACUGCCACCUGGUCUUGGCCGCCCUUCCGUUUUCUCGUUUUUUUUUUUCGCACCUGCCUCUCUCUCUUCGGUUGCUCUUACCCCUCGCCGAGAUCUAUGUGCGCGUGCAUGUGUGUAUUGUGCGGAGGCGGUGCACUUCAGAGGAUGCGGCGCAUUGGACGGAGUGUUGUACUUGCUGUCGGUAUAGCAUGCAUGCGCGCGCGCACACACACACACACCCAAACACACGAGAAUAACAGCAACCGAACAGCAACAAUGCCCUGUGCGCACAUCGGUAUAUAUGUAUGUAUAUUUAUGCAUGUGUGUAUAUAUAUGUACGUAUAUAUGCAUAUGCAUAGGUACAUAUGCAUAUGUGUGUGCAGACGUGCAUGCGUACACACAGGUGUAUAUAUAUAUAUGCGUCUAUGCGUUUAUGUGUAUAUGUAUAUAAAUGUGUGUGGGCCUGCCCAUGUGUUUGCCUUUAAUUUCAUUUUUUUUUUACGUUAGGCAUCGAUGUUUGCUCUUUUCAGUUUUUAUUUUACUGAUCCUUCUCUCGCUAUGUUCGCGUGCGCGAGAGUGAUUGAUGGCGUCUCGCAGCCUCUGUCUUUUACCGUUCGCCAUGCUUCCUGCAUCUCCUGCCCCCUCCCCCUCUCUGCGCGCGUGCGUGCUCGGAUCCGUGGUGCAUUCUAUGGUUAUUAUUGCGUUGUCCACGUUGUUAUCGUUUGCUUCUAUCUUUCCGGAUCGCGGUGAUGUGGCUCUCUCUGUAUAGGCGUGUACAUGUAUGCGCAUGUAUGCAUAUGUAUGCGUAUGUAUGUACAUGUAUGUGUAGAUAUGCAGGCGCAUACACGUGUGUAUAUGUACCUCGAUCUGCCCCAGUGUGCGCAUGCUUCCUUCUCUCUCUGCUGUGUCUGUUUUGUUUGCGCGAGGCCCCACGACUUCUCUGCCAUCUCCUCAUCUCUGCGUGCUCCAUGCACAGGAGCAAGAGGGGGGGGGGCUGGGGGCUCACGUGCGCAUCAUUCGUUUCCAUCCAAGGGGACAGGGACGGUGGAGACACGAAGCGGAAAAAGACGCGAGAGGCACUUGUACACGUGCAGAGGUGCGUGCAAGAUGGAUGUUGAAGGCAAGGCACAGGCUGAGGGUAGGCGGAGUGGAUGCUGUGCACCAAGCGACGCAUCAGCUGUUUCGCCUUGCCUCCCUCGUUAUCGUUGUUGUGCUCCUUCUCUCAGCACAGGAGAUGACAAGCCGCAUUGCAGCGUGUUUGUGCGUGCUGUUUGGGCGCUUGAGCUCUGAGUAAAACUGACCAACACCGCGGAUACGUCCUCUGCAUCACUAGCUGCUCUUCCCAUUUUCCCGUGCCCCCUUCGCUCACGUGACGCGCGCCUUCGCCACUCCGCACCGAGGUCGUCAAUCAUCUCCGUAAGCCUGCUAUAUUCUUUCUAUUUUCUGUGGUUCGUGUGUGUGUGUGCGCCUUCAUAACGGAGGGCGCCCCUCUCCGCGCGUGGCGUCUGAGGGUCCCGCACCCAGCUCUCCGUGUGGAAGGCGGCCGAGCAGCCCCCCUCCCCCUGCUGUAUCCCUGCCAAAUGCCGAACCGCCUGCGGUGCGGACAUGGCCAAGUGCCGAUGACGUGUGGGAGGUCUGGGCGCCGUGUGGGAGCGCCGUGUGGGGCGGGUGGUGGGUGGGUGGAGCUUGCGGCAGGGGGUCGUGCUCUCCGAUGCCUGAGCCGGCGCAUUGCUGGAAGGCGUGCGUCCAGGGCUGCGUCGCACGACGCGAUGGGUGGCCUGUGGCAGGCCGGUGGGGUGCGGAGUUGAGUCUCACCUCCUGGUGAAUGGCAGAGGCAGUGGCCACACGUUGAGUAAAGAAAACGUAAUAUAAGUGAUGUUCCAACGGAGGAACAGUGGCCGCCGCUCGCGGGCUGUUCUGUCUCUAUGCAGAAAUGAAAGAUGUGAGAGAUACAGAAGCAAGAACGGAUAGAAGACAACCUCGCCGAUGUGAUAGCCCCUCGGUGUCCCUUGUCGCUCGCUAGCGUGCGCGUUGAGAGGGAUUUCAAGAAGGUGGUACGACAUGGGCGCACGUAUAUGGUGACACGCGCACCUGCGCUAGUGGCCGUUACUCGAUCACUGGUGCGUGACUUUACACAGAUGACAUUGGUCGUCUUGUGUGGCUCUGUAUGCUAGAGUAGCUACACACCACUAAAUUGGUGGCGCAUCUGCUGACGGGAGACGACAGGUGCAGCGCAUCGAUUCACCACCCGCCCCUUUUCUCCUGGCAAACUCCUCGUGGGGCCGCAAAUCGUGCUCGUCGCAGCUAGCGAUGCGCGCUCUCUCUCUCUCUGUUUGUGCUGCGAUUUCAGUAGAGCUGCUCUUCCUCUUCCAAUGCUCGUGCUUGCGCAUCCCGUAUCCUCUGAGCUCUUCCCUGCCUGUGGGGCGACUCCGCCCGCCACUUCUACUGUGCACGCGCUGCACUGCUCACGGACCAGCAG